AAGUGGCGGACGGGUGAGUAACGCGUGGGUAACCUGCCUUGUACUGGGGACAACAGUUGGAAACGACUGCUAAUACCGCAUAAGCGCACAGCUUCGCAUGAAGCAGUGUGAAAAACUCCGGUGGUACAAGAUGGACCCGCGUCUGAUUAGCUGGUUGGUGAGGUAACGGCCCACCAAGGCGACGAUCAGUAGCCGGCCUGAGAGGGUGAACGGCCACAUUGGGACUGAGACACGGCCCAAACUCCUACGGGAGGCAGCAUG
rnacentral:rRNA from 1 species